rnacentral:rRNA from 1 species
UACGAAGGGGGCUAGCGUUGUUCGGAAUCACUGGGCGUAAAGCGCACGUAGGUGGCCAACUAAGUCAGACGUGAAAUCCCUCGGCUUAACCGGGGAACUGCGUCUGAUACUGGAUGGCUUGAGUGUGGGAGAGGGAUGCGGAAUUCCAGGUGUAGCGGUGAAAUGCGUAGAUAUCUGGAGGAACACCGGUGGCGAAGGCGGCAUCCUGGACCACGACUGACGCUGAGUGAGCGAAAGCCAGGGGAGCAAACGGG